GUGAAUAUAGUUUAUAAAAAUUUUAGUUUGUGAUUCUAAAGAUGGGGAAUAAUCCUCCCCUGUUCACC
rnacentral:tRNA from 1 species